rnacentral:misc_RNA from 1 species
AACGCACAUUGCGCCCUUUGGUAUUCCGAAGGGCAUGCCUGUUCGAGCGUCAUUGCAAACCCUCAAGCACCGCUUGGUCUUGGGCGCCGGUCCCCGCGGACCCGCCCGUAACCCGUCGGCGGCCCCGUCCGGCUCUAAGCGUAGCAAGAACUUUCACUCGCUUUGGAGCUUGCGGCGGCGCCUGCCGGUGAAGCAGCAUUCUUAGUUUGACCUCGGAUCAGGUAGGGAUACCCGCUGAACUUAA